CCUACGGGAGGCAGCAGUGGGGAAUUUUGGACAAUGGGCGAAAGCCUGAUCCAGCCAUGCCGCGUGCAGGAUGAAGGCCUUCGGGUUGUAAACUGCUUUUGUACGGAACGAAAAGGUCUUUUCUAAUAAAGAAGGCUCAUGACGGUACCGUAAGAAUAAGCACCGGCUAACUACGUGCCAGCAGCCGCGGUAAUACGUAGGGUGCGAGCGUUAAUCGGAAUUACUGGGCGUAAAGCGUGCGCAGGCGGUUAUAUAAGACAGUUGUGAAAUCCCCGGGCUCAACCUGGGAACUGCAUCUGUGACUGUAUAGCUAGAGUACGGUAGAGGGGGAUGGAAUUCCGCGUGUAGCAGUGAAAUGCGUAGAUAUGCGGAGGAACACCGAUGGCGAAGGCAAUCCCCUGGACCUGUACUGACGCUCAUGCACGAAAGCGUGGGGAGCAAACAGGAUUAGAUACCCUGGUAGUCCACGCCCUAAACGAUGUCAACUGGUUGUUGGGUCUUCACUGACUCAGUAACGAAGACUACGCGUGAGUGACCGCCGNGGGAGGUACGGCCGCGAGUAGAACGACAAGAGUAGUAGCGNGNGAGAGCGACGACGACGACGACGGAGGGAGGNGG
rnacentral:rRNA from 1 species